rnacentral:rRNA from 1 species
GACGAACGCUGGCGGCGUGCUUAACACAUGCAAGUCGAGCGGUAAGGCCUCUUCGGGGGUACACGAGCGGCGAACGGGUGAGUAACACGUGGGUGACCUGCCCUCAGCUCUGGGAUAAGCCUGGGAAACUGGGUCUAAUACCGGAUAUGACCUUUCCUCGCAUGGGGUUUGGUGGAAAGUUUUUUCGGCUGGGGAUGGGCCCGCGGCCUAUCAGCUUGUUGGUGGGGUGAUGGCCUACCAAGGCGACGACGGGUAGCCGGCCUGAGAGGGCGACCGGCCACACUGGGACUGAGACACGGCCCAGACUCCUACGGGAGGCAGCAGGGGGGAAUAUUGCGCAAUGGGCGGAAGCCUGGCGCAGCGACGCCGCGUGGGGGAUGACGGCCUUCGGGUUGUAAACCUCUUUCGACCCCGACGAAUUUGGACGGUAGGGGUAGAAGAAGCACCGGCCAACUACGUG